rnacentral:rRNA from 1 species
UACGUAGGGGGCAAGCGUUGUCCGGAUUUAUUGGGCGUAAAGAGCGUGUAGGCGGCCAUUCAGGUCAGCUGUGAAAACUCGAGGCUCAACCUCGAGACGUCGGUUGAAACCGUUUGGCUAGAGUCCGGAAGAGGAGAGUGGAAUUCCCGGUGUAGCGGUGAAAUGCGCAGAUAUCGGGAAGAACACCCGUGGCGAAGGCGGCUCACUGGACCGGUAUUGACGCUGAGGAGCGAAAGCCAGGGGAGCAAACGGG